rnacentral:rRNA from 1 species
AAUACAUCGGAACGUGCCCUGUAGUGGGGGAUAACUAGUCGAAAGAUUAGCUAAUACCGCAUACGACCUGAGGGUGAAAGUGGGGGACCGCAAGGCCUCAUGCUAUAGGAGCGGCCGAUGUCUGAUUAGCUAGUUGGUGGGGUAAAGGCCCACCAAGGCGACGAUCAGUAGCUGGUCUGAGAGGACGAUCAGCCACACUGGGACUGAGACACGGCCCAGACUCCUACGGGAGGCAGCAGUGGGGAAUUUUGGACAAUGGGCGAAAGCCUGAUCCAGCAAUGCCGCGUGUGUGAAGAAGGCCUUCGGGUUGUAAAGCACUUUUGUCCGGAAAGAAAUGGCUCUGGUUAAUACCUGGGGUCGAUGACGGUACCGGAAGAAUAAGGACCGGCUAACUACGUGCCAGCAGCCGCGGUAAUACGUAGGGUCCAAGCGUUAAUCGGAAUUACUGGGCGUAAAGCGUGCGCAGGCGGUUGUGCAAGACCGAUGUGAAAUCCCCGAGCUUAACUUGGGAAUUGCAUUGGUGACUGCACGGCUAGAGUGUGUCAGAGGGGGGUAGAAUUCCACGUGUAGCAGUGAAAUGCGUAGAGAUGUGGAGGAAUACCGAUGGCGAAGGCAGCCCCCUGGGAUAACACUGACGCUCAUGCACGAAAGCGUGGGGAGCAA